rnacentral:rRNA from 1 species
ACGGGUGAGUAAUGCGUCGGAACGUGCCGAGUAGUGGGGGAUAACUAUCCGAAAGGAUAGCUAAUACCGCAUACGCUUUGAGAAGGAAAGCAGGGGAUCGUAAGACCUUGCGCUAUUCGAGCGGCCGACGUCUGAUUAGCUAGUUGGUGAGGUAAAGGCUCGCCAAGGCAUCGAUCAGUAGCGGGUCUGAGAGGAUGAUCCGCCACACUGGGACUGAGACACGGCCCAGACUCCUACGGGAGGCAGCAGUGGGGAAUUUUGGACAAUGGGCGCAAGCCUGAUCCAGCCAUGCCGCGUGUCUGAAGAAGGCCUUCGGGUUGUAAAGGACUUUUGUCAGGGAGGAAAUCCCUAGCGCUAAUAUCGCUGGGGGAUGACAGUACCUGAAGAAUAAGCACCGGCUAACUACGUGCCAGCAGCCGCGGUAAUACGUAGGGUGCAAGCGUUAAUCGGAAUUACUGGGCGUAAAGCGUGCGCAGGCGGUUGUGUAAGUCUGAUGUGAAAGCCCCGGGCUUAACCUGGGAACUGCAUUGGAGACUGCACAGCUAGAGUGCGUCAGAGGGGGGUAGAAUUCCGCGUGUAGCAGUGA